UACGAAGGGGGCUAGCGUUGCUCAGAAUCACUGGGCGUAAAGCGCACGUAGGCGGCUUUCUAAGUCAGGGGUGAAAUCCUGGAGCUCAACUCCAGAACUGCCUUUGAUACUGGAGAGCUUGAGUCCGGAAGAGGUGAGUGGAACUCCGAGUGUAGAGGUGAAAUUCGUAGAUAUUUGGAAGAACACCAGUGGCGAAGGCGGCUCACUGGUCCGGUACUGACGCUGAGGUGCGAAAGCGUGGGGAGCAAACAGG
rnacentral:rRNA from 1 species